GCCUGGCUAGCUCAAAUGGUAGAGCAUGAGACUCAGGAUUGUGGGUUCAAGCCCCAUGUUGGGCA
rnacentral:tRNA from 1 species